GGGGCCGACCGGUUUUGACAGCGAGACCAAUGGUUAUGUAAGCAUGUCGAGCUAUGGGAAUGAUGCUCGUUAAUUCAAUGUCUCAACUUUUUUAAAUGGCGAGUCUAACUACGCUUUAGCUGCUUAAUUGACUGAAUUAUAGUAAGUCCAAGCCUCGGUGCGCUAGGCGCACAAGCUGAAUGUCCCUUGACAGCCCUUGUUGAUGGCGGUCUUUUUUGGGGCACCAUAAAAGUCAACAUAGCGAUCUUAUUGCUUCGUUAAGGUCGUAAAACUAAAGAAGCUAAGCGCACGAUAGGCUGUUUUGGGUCGGUCGUACGUCGAAAAUUGAACCAAAACUAAGCAUGUAGAAAGCCUAGUUAUUGCUUGUUUGGACGAGGGUUCGAAUCCCUCCGGCUCCAC
rnacentral:tmRNA from 1 species